rnacentral:rRNA from 1 species
CGGGAAGCCAUAUGGCGACAUAGAGCGGAACCCGAAAACCUGUCUCAGUUCGGAUUGGAGUCUGCAACCCGACUCCAUGAAGCUGGAUUCGCUAGUAAUCGCGCAUCAGCCACGGCGCGGUGGAUACGUUCCCGGGCCUUGUACACACCGCCCGUCAAGCCAUGGAAGCCGGGAGUGCCUGAAGUGCGUGAGCGCAAGCAGCGCCCUAAGGUAAAACCGGUGACUGGGGCUAAGUCGUAACAAGGUAUC